AUGGCUCCUACCGAGGCUGAGGCUGAUGUAGAGGAGGGAGAAGAGAAGAAGAAGAGGGAAAGGAAAGCAGCUGGAGCUGCUUUCACGUGGAUUCAAAAUAACUUUGCGACGUGCCCUCCGGAUGCCACUGAUGAUGUGAUCCAGACACAUGCUCGUGUGUAUAUGUGGUACGUUGUGUCGAGGACUUUGUUUCCUGACUCCACUAGCAAGAACGCUCCAUGGAUGUGGCUGAAGGCGUUGACCGUCUUCGAUAGCAAAUGGAGCUGGGGUUCAGCGACUCUUGCCUACUUGUACCGACAGGUAGUUGGUCUGUUUUGUGAUCAACUCAUUUCUUCAUUAGCAAUGCAAGCUUGCUGUCAAGUUAACAUUGUUUUUUUCUUUCAUAUGUAG
rnacentral:rRNA from 1 species